rnacentral:rRNA from 1 species
AUACGGAGGGUGCAAGCGUUGUUCGGAAUUAUUGGGCGUAAAGAGCAUGUAGGCGGACUGUUAAGUCUGGUGUGAAAGCCCGGGGCUCAACCCCGGAAGUGCAUUGGAUACUGGCAGUCUUGAGUAUGGGAGAGGAAAGUGGAAUUCCGAGUGUAGGAGUGGAAUCCGUAGAUAUUCGGAGGAACACCAGUGGCGAAGGCGGCUUUCUGGACCAAUACUGACGCUGAGAUGCGAAAGCGUGGGGAGCGAACAGGAUUAGAAACCCGAGUAGUCC